UUUUGGUUCAGAGUGCUGAAGAAGACAAAGUCCUAAAAGGCCAAUUGCUUAAUUAUUCAAAGAGGACCUUCUCUCCUGCUGACUUUGAUGAUGCAAGCUGCCACAGAAGAGAGGUUCAGGAGGAAGGGACCUAAGGCAGCCUCUGACCAAUGGCAAACAGCAAGUGAACUGAAGUCCUUAAUCCACUAUUCCUCGGGGAAAAGAAUCCUGUCAACAAUUGUGUGUUAGCUUGAAAGCAGAUUCUUCCCUUGGUGGACACCUCGACUACAGCCUUGUGAGAGGCCGUGAAGCAGAGGACACAGCUAAGCUGUCCUAGAUCUCUUCUCCACAGGAGGAAAUUGUGCCAAUUGCCCUGAAGGAGAAGACCUAGAACAAGGCCUUAACUCUAAAUGUAAGGGCUGAGGUGAUGACUUCACUAUAAAGCUUUCAUGACACUCCAAGACAUUUCCAGUCAUAUUUCCUGCAUCAGAGAAUGU